GUGCUGGCUGCUCCGUGCCCCCACCCCCUGCUUGCUGAGCUCAGCUGCAACUCUCUCCAGUUAACGAUCCUCGAUCCUCCGUGAUCCAUCCAUUAUUGAAUCCCAGCACCUGCCACAGGUUGUUCGUUGAAUGGAUGUGUAGGUUCUGAGAAACCAACGUGGAGGGAAGAGGCAACAGAGCCGACUGGUAUCAGGAGCUCUCUCGGGCCCACCAAGUCAACAGCUGUCUGACACAGAUGACCAAGGAGAAUAGAGGUACUCGGGGAACCUGAGUGAGUGCUGGGGUCUUCCCAUGAAAGGGCAGCAGGAAAGAGCCUCCUUGGGGAAAUUUAGGUGUCUGUGACCUUGGACAGGGCCCCCUUCAAGGGCAAGAGCUAGUCCCACAAACCGGACUGUCUUUAGAGGAGGCUCUGCCUGCAAUGUUUUGAGGCA
rnacentral:lncRNA from 1 species